rnacentral:rRNA from 1 species
AUUGAACGCUGGCGGCAGGCCUAACACAUGCAAGUCGAGCGAGCGGCGGACGGGUGAGUAAUGCCUCGGAAUCUGCCUGGUAGUGGGGGAUAACUACUGGAAACAGUAGCUAAUACCGCAUACCAUCGGAUGUGCCCAGAUGGGAUUGGCUUGGUGGUGGGGUAACGGCUCACCAAGGCGACGAUCCCUAGCUGUGCUGAGAGUAUGACCAGCCACACUGGAACUGAGACACUGGCCAGACUCCUACGGGAGGCAGCAGUGGGGAAUAUUGCACAAUGGGCGCAAGCCUGAUGCAGCCAUGCCGCGUGUAUGAAGAAGGCCUUCGGGUUGUAAAGUACUUUCAGCGGGGAGGCGUUACCCGCAGAAGAAGCACCGGCUAACUCCGUGCCAGCAGCCGCGGUAAUUC